rnacentral:tRNA from 1 species
CGCGGGAUGGAGCAGUCUGGUAGCUCGUCGGGCUCAUAACCCGAAGGCCGCUGGUUCGAGUCCAGCGCCCGCUACUA